GACAGAGGAUGCAAGCGUUAUCCGGAAUGAUUGGGCGUAAAGCGUCUGUAGGUGGCUUUUUAAGUCCGCCGUCAAAUCCCAGGGCUCAACCCUGGACAGGCGGUGGAAACUACCAAGCUGGAGUACGGUAGGGGCAGAGGGAAUUUCCGGUGGAGCGGUGAAAUGCGCAGAUAUCAGGAGGAACACCGGUGGCGAAGGCGGGUCUCUGGGCAACAACUGACGCUGAGGAGCGAAAGCGUGGGGGAGCGAACAGGG
rnacentral:rRNA from 1 species